UGAGGAACAUGACCUUCGGCGGGGGAUAGCCGGCCCAACGGCCGGGUAAUACCGCGUACGACCUUUUGGGGACAUCCCCGAUUGGUGAAAGCAGCAAUGCGCCGAAAGAGUGCCUCGCGGCCUAUCAGCUAGUUGGUGGGGUAACGGCUCACCAAGGCGACGACGGGUAGCUGGUCUGAGAGGAUGGCCAGCCACAUUGGGACUGAGACACGGCCCAGACUCCUACGGGGAGGCAG
rnacentral:rRNA from 1 species